rnacentral:rRNA from 1 species
AUUGAACGCUGGCGGAAUGCUUUACACAUGCAAGUCGAACGGUAGAGGGGGCAACCCCUUGAGAGUGGCGAACGGGUGAGUAAUAUAUCGGAACGUGCCCAGUCGUGGGGGAUAACGUAGCGAAAGUUACGCUAAUACCGCAUACGAUCUAAGGAUGAAAGCGGGGGACUCGCAAGAGCCUCGCGCGAUUGGAGCGGCCGAUAUCAGAUUUAGGUAGUUGGUGGGGUAAAGGCUCACCAAGCCAACGAUCUGUAGCUGGUCUGAGAGGACGACCAGCCACACUGGAACUGAGACACGGUCCAGACUCCUACGGGAGGCAGCAGUGGGGAAUUUUGGACAAUGGACGCAAGUCUGAUCCAGCCAUUCCGCGUGCAGGAUGAAGGCCCUCGGGUUGUAAACUGCUUUUGUACGGAACGAAAAGGUUUCUAUUAAUACUAGGAGCUCAUGACGGUACCGUAAGAAUAAGCACCGGCUAACUACGUG